GACGGAUCCAAGGAGUGUGUAUAAAUUGAGGGGAGGUGAGGAGUGAAAGGGAGAAAGAAAAGAAGACGUGAAGAAGAAGACAGAUGAAUCCCUGAUGAACUUCGAUGGGACCAAUGCUGGAACCUGGAUUGUGCACAAUGAACCCCUUAUUGUUGGAGGCCACAAAAUGACCUCUCUUCCUGCAUACACCAAUCCAACCUUCGUGCUUAAGAAUGGGACAUUUUUCCUUUGUGGACCACAACAGAGAGUCUGCAUCCAAAGCUCUUUACAAGCUCAGCAGAAAACUGUUGCCAGGGUCAGACAUGACUUCCACCUUGGACAGGAAUCCAGCCUCUUAACUGAUGUUUCACAUCUAAAGGUAAGAUCUAUUGGACUUCUGUUUACUGCACACUCACA